rnacentral:lncRNA from 1 species
GCUUAGUAUAGCUGACGUGCAAUAAUGCAGUCUCGUGCAGUAAAAGGCAAUAAUUACCGUAGGCAGUCGUAAACGGUAGUUCAAAAUACUUUACAAAACUGUCAGCGGAUUUCUGCAAUGCACCAUCUGCAGAGGAUAUUUUAGCUCGCACAUUGCCCUCAAAUCUCCUGCUCCUUGUGUCUCUCAAGUUCCCCAGCUGUUCAUCAUCGAGUCUUCAGUGUUCCUUUGUUACCAAGUCACCUUUUGCACUUCUACACCAACAUCUUAAAGCACUUUGACCACAUACACAUGGCAC